CCUACGGGUGACAGCAGUGAGGAAUCUUGGUCAAUGGCCGAAAGCCUGAACCAGCCACGUCGCGUGAAGGAAGAAGGUCCUAGGGUUUGUAAACUUCUUUUAUAGGGGAAUAAAGGUAUCCACGUGUGGGUAUUUGCUUGUACCCUAUGAAUACGGAUCGGCUAACUCCGUGCCAGCAGCCGCGGUAAUACGGAGGGUGCGAGCGUUAUCCGGAUUUAUUGGGUUUAAAGGGAGCGUAGGCUGUUUUUUAAGUCAGCUGUGAAAGGUUGUGGCUCAACCAGAGAAUUGCCGUUGAAACUGGAAGACUUGAGUGUGUUUGAGGUAGGCGGAAUGCGUGGUGUAGCGGUGAAAUGCGUAGAUAUCACGCAGAACACCGAUGGCGAAGGCAGCUCACUGAUCCGUAACUGACGCUGAGGCUCGAAAGCGUGGGGAUCAAACAGGAUUAGAUACCCUAGUAGUC
rnacentral:rRNA from 1 species